GCCUACGGGAGGCAGCAGUGAGGAAUAUUGCGCAAUGGGGGAAACCCUGACGCAGCAACGCCGCGUGGGUGAAGAAGGCCUUCGGGUCGUAAAGCCCUUUCGGACGGGACGAACGCUUUGCGGCGACAAACCGCGAAGCUUGACGGUACCGUAGGAAGAAGCACCGGCUAACUCCGUGCCAGCAGCCGCGGUAA
rnacentral:rRNA from 1 species